rnacentral:rRNA from 1 species
UUGAUCCUGGCUCAGAACGAACGCUGGCGGCGUGGUUGAUACAUGCAAGUCGAGCGGGAAAGUACCCUUCGGGGUGCGAGUACAGCGGCGGACGGGUGAGUAACGCAUGGUCGACCUGCCCACGAGAUCGGGAUAGCCAUUCGAAAGGAUGGGUAAUACCGGAUAAGACCACGGCGCUUCAUGGCGCUGCGGUAAAAAGGUUGGGAUCUUCGGACCUUCCGCUCGUGGAUGGGACCAUGUCCUAUUAGCUUGUUGGUGAGGUAACGGCUCACCAAGGCGACGAUGGGUAGCCGGCCUGAGAGGGUGGACGGCCACACUGGGACUGAGACACGGCCCAGACUCCUACGGGAGGCAGCAGUGCUGAAUCAUUCGCCAAUGCGCGAAAACGUGACGGUGCGACGCCGCGUGCGGGAUGAAGGCCUUCGGGUUGUAAACCGCUGUCAGGGCUUAGGAAACCGUAAGGGUUAAUAGCUCUUGCGCUGACCAGGUCCAAAGGAAGCACAGGCUAACUUCGUGCCAGCAGCCGCGGUAAUACGAAGUGUGCGAGCGUUGUUCGGAAUUACUGGGCGUAAAGGGUGCGCAGGCGGCUCGGUAAGUCAGGUGUGAAAUCCCCCGGCUCAACCGGGGAAUUGCACUUGAUACUGCCGGGCUUGAGGGCGAGAGGGGCAAGUGGAAUUCCAGGUGUAGCGGUGGAAUGCGUAGAUCUCUGGGAGAACGCCAAAGGCGAAGGCAGCUUGCUGGCUCGUUCCUGACGCUCAGGCACGAAAGCUAGGGGAGCGAACAGGAUUAGAUACCCUGGUAGUCCUAGCCGUAAACGAUGGGCGCUAAGUAUCGGGGCUUCUGACGGUUUCGGUACUACAGCAAACGCGUUAAGCGCCCCGCCUGGGGAGUAUGGUCGCAAGGCUAAAACUCAAAGGAAUUGACGGGGGCUCACACAAGC